UGAGGAAUAUUGCACAAUGGGCGCAAGCCUGAUGCAGCAACGCCGCGUGCGGGACGAAGGCCUUCGGGUCGUAAACCGCUUUUCUGGGGGAAGAGCAAGGACGGUACCUCAGGAAUAAGUCUCGGCUAACUACGUGCCAGCAGCCGCGGUAAAACGUAGGAGGCGAGCGUUAUCCGGAUUUACUGGGCGUAAAGCGCACGCAGGCGGCUCUGUUAGUCGGACGUGAAAGCUCUCGGCUUAACCGGGAGAGGCCGUUCGAUACUGCGGGUGUUGAGGUAGGGAGAGGAAUGCGGAAUUCCCGGUGUAGUGGUGGAAUGCGUAGAUAUCGGGAGGUACACCUGUGGCGAAAGCGGCAUUCUGGCCCUCACCUGACGCUGAGGUGCGAAAGCGUGAGUAGCAAACA
rnacentral:rRNA from 1 species